rnacentral:rRNA from 1 species
CCUACGGGUGGCUGCAGUGGGGAAUAUUGGACAAUGGGCGAAAGCCUGAUCCAGCCAUGCCGCGUGUGUGAAGAAGGCCUUCGGGUUGUAAAGCACUUUCAGUGGGGAAGAAAGCCUUGGGGCUAAUACCCUCGAGGAAGGACAUCACCCACAGAAGAAGCACCGGCUAACUCCGUGCCAGCAGCCGCGGUAAUACGGAGGGUGCGAGCGUUAAUCGGAAUUACUGGGCGUAAAGCGCGCGUAGGCGGUCUGAUAAGCCGGUUGUGAAAGCCCCGGGCUCAACCUGGGAACGGCAUCCGGAACUGUCAGGCUAGAGUGCAGGAGAGGAAGGUAGAAUUCCCGGUGUAGCGGUGAAAUGCGUAGAGAUCGGGAGGAAUACCAGUGGCGAAGGCGGCCUUCUGGACUAACACUGACGCUGAGGUGCGAAAGCGUGGGUAGCAAACAGGAUUAGAUACCCGUGUAGUC